AGGAUUCCCCUAGUAACUGCGAGUGAAGCGGGAAAAGCUCAAAUUUAAAAUCUGGCAGUCUCUGGCUGUCCGAGUUGUAAUCUAGAGAAGUAAUGCCCGUGCUGGACCGUGUAUAAGUCUCCUGGGAUGGGGCGUCAUAGAGGGUGAGAAUCCCGUCUUUGACACGGACUACCAGUGCAUUGUGGUAUGCUCUCAAAGAGUCGAGUUGUUUGGGAAUGCAGCUCAAAAUGGGUGGUAAAUUCCAUCUAAAGCUAAAUAUUGGCGAGAGACCGAUAGCGAACAAGUACCGUGAGGGAAAGAUGAAAAGAACUUUGGAAAGAGAGUUAAACAGUACGUGAAAUUGCUGAAAGGGAAACGCUUGAAGUCAGUCGCGUUGGCUGGGAAUCAGCCUUGCUUUUGCAUGGUGUACUUUCUGGUUGACGGGUCAGCAUCAAUUUUGACCACUGGAAAAAGGCCUGGGGAAUGUGGCAGCUUCGGCUGUGUUAUAGCCCCUAGUCGCAUACAGUGGUUGGGAUUGAGGAACUCAGCACGCCGCAAGGCCGGGUUUCGACCACGUUCGUGCUUAGGAUGCUGGCAUAAUGGCUUUAAGCGACCCGUCUUGAAACACGGACCAAGGAGUCUAACAUGCCUGCGAGUAUUUGGGUGGAAAACCCAAGUGCGUAAUGAAAGUGAAAGUUGAGAUCCCUGUCGUGGGGAGCAUCGACGCCCGGACCAGAACUUUUGGGACGGAUCCGCGGUGGAGCAUGUAUGUUGGGACCCGAAAGAUGGUGAACUAUGCCUGAAUAGGGUGAAGCCAGAGGAAACUCUGGUGGAGGCUCGUAGCGAUUCUGACGUGCAAAUCGAUCGUCAAAUUUGGGUAUAGGGGCGAAA
rnacentral:rRNA from 1 species